rnacentral:rRNA from 1 species
AUUGAACGCUGGCGGCAGGCCUAACACAUGCAAGUCGAAUGGUAACAGGAAACCUCUUGCUGUGUCGCUGACGAGUGGCGGACGGGUGAUUCAUGUCUGGGAAACUGCCUGAUGGAGGGGGAUAACUACUGGAAACGGUAGCUAAUACCGCAUAACGUCGCAGAACCAAAGAGAGGGACCUUCGGCCCUCUUGCCAUCAGGUGUGCCCAGGUUGGAUUAGCUAGUAGGUGGGGUAACGGCUCACCUAGGCGACGAUCCCUAGCUGGUCUGAGAGGACGACCAGCCACACUGGAACUGAGACACGGUCCAGACUCCUACGGGAGGCAGCAGUGGGGAAUAUUGCACAAUGGGCGAAAGCCUGAUGCAGCCAUGCCGCGUGUAUGAAGAAGGCCUUCGGGUUGUAAAGUACUUUCGGCGGGGAGGAAGGGAGUAAAGUUAAUACCUUCGCGCAUUGACGUUACCCGAAGAAGAAGCACCGGCUAACUACGUG